CAAAACUGUUGCGGGGCAAAGGUCGACCUGUGGCGUCUAGGAUACGAAAUGAGAUGGAUGGGGUCCGGCGAGAACCGGGAAGCCGGAGGCCAGAUUCUGACUUGAGGGAGAUUCAGCAAAAGCAGAGCUGUGGACUGUGUCAUCAACAUGGGCAUAACCGUAGAAGAUGUCCGCUUUCCCGUGGGGCUUCGACAAGCAGUAAUAAUCCAAACUAGGCAUGCAAAUACUCGAGUUUGGAAUGGCAUUGUAGAUGUCAAUUGGGGUUCUCUUUAUUAUGUAUUUGAACUUACUACUGGGUUGUAUCCACACAAUUAUUAUUUUGUUUGUCACUGAAUGAACUUGUAAUCGAAGUAUUUUAUAUCUAAUGUACCUGUUUCUAGAUUGUGAUA